UGCCCUAGCCUCAGCCGUGACACCCAUCUCCUCGGCGCUACCAAUCUGAUUUGUUGUUCAUUGUGCCCUGGUUUUCAUUGCUGAUCCGAGAUUGGGGUUUCCUCAAUUCCAGUCAUCUCAUUACUGAUUGGUUCUGUUGCCAUUACAGAACGGCUGAAGAAGAAUUGAGGAUAUUGAUUCGAGACGGUGUCUUGACGGGGGAUCUGUUUUGGAUACGAUCCUUUUCGAUUGGAGGCGGGU